GAGACUUCCUGUUAGAGGCUGGGGCAUUUCCUGCUGUCCUGUGCUGCUUGCUGAGGGCUGUGCUGAUGGGAGCCUUGGUUUCCCCUCAGCCCCGCGGAAGGCGAGGUUUGGACGCAUCAGUACAGACCUCAGACCUGGCUUCUUUCCGUUGCAGGUUGCAAGAACUUGUUGAUGGUGCUGAACUCUUUGGGCCUCAGAUCCCUCCUGGUUUAUUCACUGCUGAGGAUUAAAUAAAAUCGUCUGGGUCUCCAACAGAGAGGAGCACUGGUGUCCAUUUGUAUGACUCACUACUGAUCCGGCCUGACAGUCCUCCAGAGAAAUGGCGGACACACACCUUGAAACCUGGAUGCUUAGAGACUACAGGCAGCAAAUGCAGACAGUGCUGGGGACAAGGAGGGGGAUGCCAGCCACCUAACCAGCAACCCCCUCUGGCCCUCUUUCCUCUUCUCAAGCCACUCAUCAUAUCUUCAGUCCCAGCUCAGUCCCAGUCUCUCCCCAGGGCCAAGCUGCUGGCUUGGGCACCGUGGGGAAGGUGGACCAGCAACAGAAGAGAAAUACGAAUCCCAUCGGUUCAGCUCUGAUCGCACCAGUGUAGGUCAUGGAGGAAGUCCUGUGGCUGUCCCCAAAACACAGCACAGUUCUCCCCCACUGAACCUCACCCAUCAGUAGGCUUGAGUGUCACUGAGCACGGUGAUCACGUUUCCAGCACAGAAACCUUAGCCACCUUUUCUCUCGUACUUGCAGCAGAACAAAAAAUCACCCACUAUUUACAACUCAGGAAGCUGUCUUAGGCUACACCGCGGUGAACAGAACCUGUCCGUGUCCAAUCAUCUCCAGCUCCUGGUCGCCACACAAAGUGUUCAGAGAAACUGAUGUCGUCCAUCUCAACACGUGUGUGACCACAGAUCCCUAUGAUUGUGGACUGUGAGAGAAGAAGCCACACGGAUGGGCAGUGGGACCGGUUUCUCACUGGUCUGAGUUGACCAUUCUCCCGGCUUCUGUGCUGGCUUCCGGAGUGCUUGCAACACGUGUGGGGACAGAGUGCGCCGCAGGGGUCUCUGAGACCUGCUCGCUGCAGCGCCCCAUAAAC
rnacentral:lncRNA from 1 species